GCCCGGGUGGCGAAAUGGUAGACGCAGGGGACUUAAAAUCCCUUGCCCGCAAGGGCGUGUGGGUUCGAGUCCCACCCUGGGCACCA
rnacentral:tRNA from 1 species